GGGCCGUUAGCUCAGCAGGCAGAGCAGCGGGCUUUUAACCCGACGGUCGGGGGUUCGAUUCCCUCACGGCCCA
rnacentral:tRNA from 1 species